GGAGAGAUGGCUCAGUGGUUAAGAGCACUGGCUGCUCUAUCAGAGGACCAGGGUUCAAUUCCCAGCACCUUCA
rnacentral:tRNA from 1 species